UACGGGGGGGAGCAGUCGUUGUCGGAAUUACUGGGCGUAAAGGCUCGUAGGCGGUUUGUCGCGUCUGCUGUGAAAACUCGGGGCUUAACCCCGAGCCUGCAGUGGAUACGGGCAGACUAGAGGUAGGUAGGGGGAGAAUGGAAUUCCCGGUGUAGCGGUGAAAUGCGCAGAUAUCGGGAGGAACACCGGUGGCGAAGGCGGUUCUCUGGGCCUUACCUGACGCUGAGGAGCGAAAGCGUGGGGAGCGAACAGG
rnacentral:rRNA from 1 species